UUUCCUGUUCUAGAAAGGUACUCUCAAGUGCUUGUAAUAGGCAUUUCAGUGUCAGCCAGAUCAAAUGUUAGCAUUAAUAAAAUGUAUUGUUUUAAGUUUCUAUUGUAGCAAAGUCAAACUACUCUUAUUGGUGGCUAAUUGGUCAUGGCCCCACUGAGGGAGAAAUUAAGUGACUAUCAAAUUGCCUUCUUACUAGUCUGCGUUAGAGAGGGGACAGUGCGUUUCUCUCCCAAACGAUUGCAGUUCUCUCCUUUUCAGGCCUAUAAUGCAAAGAGCAAAAGCUUUGAAGAUCCUCCCAACCAUGCCCGUAGCCCUGGAAACAAAGGGAAGGGCAAGGGAAAAGGGAAGGGCAAGCCCAAGUCCCAAGCCUGUGAGCCGAGCGAGCCAGAGAUAGAGAUCAAGCUGCCCAAGCUGCGGACCCUGGACGUGUUUUCUGGCUGCGGGGGGUUGUCGGAGGGAUUCCACCAAGCAGGUGAGCGCCCGUAGGCUCCAUCUCUGAAUACCUGGUGAGCCCAGACCGGGCAGGUGCUACCUGAAACGACUUCCAACCCCGGUCACCUUCCU
rnacentral:sRNA from 1 species